rnacentral:tRNA from 1 species
GGACUAUUGGCCCAAUGGAAAGGCGUCUGACUACGAAUCAGGAGAUUGCAGGUUCGAGCCCUGCAUAGUUCA